rnacentral:rRNA from 1 species
CGAACGCUGGCGGCAGGCUUAACACAUGCAAGUCGAGCGGGCGUAGCAAUACGUCAGCGGCAGACGGGUGAGUAACGCGUGGGAACAUACCUUUUGGUUCGGAACAACACAGGGAAACUUGUGCUAAUACCGGAUAAGCCCUUACGGGGAAAGAUUUAUCGCCGAAAGAUUGGCCCGCGUCUGAUUAGCUAGUUGGUGAGGUAACGGCUCACCAAGGCGACGAUCAGUAGCUGGUCUGAGAGGAUGAUCAGCCACAUUGGGACUGAGACACGGCCCAAACUCCUACGGGAGGCAGCAGUGGGGAAUAUUGGACAAUGGGCGCAAGCCUGAUCCAGCCAUGCCGCGUGAGUGAUGAAGGCCCUAGGGUUGUAAAGCUCUUUUGUGCGGGAAGAUAAUGACGGUACCGCAAGAAUAAGCCCCGGCUAACUUCGUGCCAGCAGCCGCGGUAAUACGAAGGGGGCUAGCGUUGCUCGGAAUCACUGGGCGUAAAGGGUGCGUAGGCGGGUCUUUAAGUCAGGGGUGAAAUCCUGGAGCUCAACUCCAGAACUGCCUUUGAUACUGAGGAUCUUGAGUUCGGGAGAGGUGAGUGGAACUGCGAGUGUAGAGGUGAAAUUCGUAGAUAUUCGCAAGAACACCAGUGGCGAAGGCGGCUCACUGGCCCGAUACUGACGCUGAGGCACGAAAGCGUGGGGAGC